rnacentral:misc_RNA from 1 species
GAGAAGAACGCAGCGAAAUGCGAUAAGUAAUGUGAAUUGCAGAAUUCAGUGAAUCAUCGAAUCUUUGAACGCACAUUGCGCCCUCUGGUAUUCCGGGGGGCAUGCCUGUUCGAGCGUCAUUAUAACCACUCAAGCUCUCGCUUGGUAUUGGGGUUCGCGGUUCCGCGGCCCCUAAAAUCAGUGGCGGUGCCUGUCGGCUCUACGCGUAGUAAUACUCCUCGCGAUUGAGUCCGGUAGGUCUACUUGCCAGCAACCCCCAAUUUUUACAGGUUGACCUCGGAUCAGGUAGGGAUACCCGCUGAACUUAAGCAUAUCAAUAAGCGGAGGA